GUUUCCGUAGGUGAACCUGCGGAAGGAUCAUUACCGAGUUGAUUCGAGCUCCGGCUCGACUCUCCCACCCAAUGUGUACCUACCUCUGUUGCUUUGGCGGGCCGCGGUCCUCCGCACCGGCGCCCUUCGGGGGGCUGGCCAGCGCCCGCCAGAGGACCAUAAAACUCCAGUCAGUGAACUUCGCAGUCUGAAAAACAAGUUAAUAAACUAAAACUUUCAACAACGGAUCUCUUGGUUCUGGCAUCGAUGAAGAACGCAGCGAAAUGCGAUAAGUAAUGUGAAUUGCAGAAUUCAGUGAAUCAUCGAAUCUUUGAACGCACAUUGCGCCCCUUGGUAUUCCGAGGGGCAUGCCUGUUCGAGCGUCAUUUCAACCCUCAAGCUCUGCUUGGUAUUGGGCCCCGUCCUCCACGGACGCGCCUUAAAGACCUCGGCGGUGGCGUCUUGCCUCAAGCGUAGUAGAAAACACCUCGCUUUGGAGCGCACGGCGUCGCCCGCCGGACGAACCUUUGAAUUAUUUCUCAAGGUUGACCUCGGAUCAGGUAGGGAUACCCGCUGAACUUAA
rnacentral:rRNA from 1 species